GGAAUAGAAAAGGUGAAGAACUUACAGGAAUGUAUGAAUUCUUUUUCUGUAUUUUAUUAUUUCUGUGUUUCCCCUAUGACCUGUAUAUGUGCAGGCUCAUAUCUACUUGAGCCUUGGCCAGCUAGAAACAUAUUUACUUAACCUGAACUGAUGACAUUUAUUGGUAUUUGACAUUUAUCAAUAUUUAGUCUAUUAGCUGGACCACUGUCUGCUUGAUUAAGCCUGAAGGCCUGACUUUGUUUCCCAGAAAUCAGGAGAUUUCAGGGAAACAGAAACCUUCCAUUCCAAUCUCCCCAACUAGCAACAACCAAUGAGAUGCCUCCCCCUCCCCUUCUCAAUGCUCUCUUACUUGUGAUGUAAUUUCUUGUAUAAAAGCUAUGUAUCUUUACUACUUCUUUAGCCCUCCUACCGCGAGCUUAUCUUGCGAUGGGACGGCUCAUCCUCCGGAGGUUUUUCAAUAAACAACUUUUCUGCCUUCUACUGAGGGAUCUCUGAGUAGUCAUUUUGGGUAAGGGUCUUCUACAUCCCUCACAGUUGGGGGCUUGUCCGGGAUGGGGUCUUUGGGGGAGAUGGCUAUGUGCACCCUGAACAGGGACAGGCGCCCACGGAGUAGUUUUCUCCAUGGUCUCUGGCUCUGGGUGAGCAGCCUCCCUCCCCUCUUAGACAACGACCCGAAGCAGGAAUACUCAGUGGAACGCAGAAUUGAAGAUUGAAAGAAGUAGAGUCCUGAUGGCCGGCAUUUGCAGCCUGAAAAGAAACAUAUGUUCUCGAGUGGCUUUGCAGGAAGGGGGAAAGAAGGGGAAAAAAUAAAAACAUAGAUUGAAAGUUUGGAAAGUUUUGAGAAAAAUAGAAGAACAGUGGCUAUCGCUCCUGUAAACAAAGAGCCUGUUAUCAGGACUCAGCCAGAGAAAAGAAUUCUCAAGGUAAAGCAAGGAUUGGUGCUUAACUCUUUCCUGGUUACUAAAAAAAAGACAUGGGAAUAAAGUAUCUAGGUAAAUUUUAGGAAAUUUCACAAACUGAAGUAAAAUAACUUUAAAUUGGUGUGUGUGUUAAGACUGGAAAAUUUAAGAUUGGAAAUAAGAAACUGCAGAUAUUGGAAGGGAGGAAUAAAUAUAGAGUAAGAGAGGUAAAUAGUUGAACACAGGGGCGUUCUGACCUGUUGGACCUGUGGGAAAACUAGGCAUACUUCUAAAGAAAAAAAUUUGCAGGAAAAGAAAGAAAAAUCAUUAUUAGUAAAUUUGCCUUCAUGGAAUUAGAGAACAGAAAGUUUAAGAAGACUAAACUGGGUAAUUGUUUGCAAUAUUUGAUUAAGAGUUUUGGGAAUUUACUAUAUUUUAAAGAGGUACUAUAAUUUUGAAAUUGAAAUAAAAUUAAAACUGGGGGAAAUAAUUUACUGUUGCCUUACACAUGUUAGAUUUAUUCUGAGUAUAAAAUCUUAAGAAUUUUUCGAAUAUUAUGGCCUUUACAACUGAAAAGAAAAACUUUUCUUUUUUUUUUACUAUUUGGUUGGACUUCAAAUUGAAAUAUAGGUUAUUAAACAAAAUGCCAGUAGCUUACCUUAGGGGGGGCUUGUGUUUGUAUCUCCCUACUUAAAUGGUAUAUUGCUUUUUAAAAGUAUUGAGUAAUUUGUAAACUAUAUUAUAAGUUUUAUGAAAUUCAAAAUUAAUUGUGAAUCUUGAAGUUUAAAGUUUAAAAAAAAGAUGAUUUAAAGACAAGGGAAAAGAGAUUGAUUUACAAAAGCAAUUAAUAGUUUAAAUAGAGCAUCUAGUCGGAAGGAUUUUUGGUUUAGGAGUGUUUAAAGUAUGUAAUAAAUUUUGAGCAAUUAAGCAUUGGGAAGAGAGAGAGACAGAGAGAUGGGAUAGGAGAAUGAAGGUAAUUUAAGAAGGAUUGAUUAGUAGAAACAAAUGAUUUCAAGAAGUCGUCAGUGGGAAAAAGAAGGAACUUGUUGGAAAGGGUAGUCACAGAGAGAUGGCUGUGAGAAGGGAUGUGUUUUUGUGGGAGGAGAGAAAGUGAGCAGCAGUGGAAAGCGGCAGCCGCUUGGUUCCUUUGGCUGAAGAAAACAAAUGGUUAUUUAAAGAGACAAACUGCUCUUACAAGAUGUCAAUUGAUUGAAUAUUUGUUUCUUUAGAUACAUAAUGGUUAUGAAUAUUAAAGAAUAUGAUCAGAAAUGUGGUAUAUAGUUUGAAAGGGUUAUUUCAAAAAGUUUAAUUGAUGUUUUCAAGAACUUUUCAGAUUCUUUUUAUGUGAAAAUAGGAAGUUUUAAUUAACUGUAUUGAUGCCAAUUAUCUGAAAUGGGACUUCAAGGAUAAUAGUUUUUGCCUUCUUCCUUUUGAAAAUGUUUUUGUUGUGAACCAUAUGUAGUUUGGGAUUUUUCUGUAUAUUGGGUAUUUUAAAAGCAAAAUGAUUGGUAUAUUAAAUUUAUUCAAGAUGCAACAUCUACUUGGGUAUAUGAGAAUUGUGUGAAUUUUCUGGGAUAAAUUUCUUACUGUUAUUGAUAUAAGGUCAUGGUAAAUAACUGAGAUUUAUUUGAAACUUUGGAGACGAAAUUCUUUGGGCUUGUAAUUAAUGCUAUUUGGAAGUUUUAAAGCUCCACUCUUUGAUGUGCUGAAGAUUGAGUUUUAACUGCUUAUAUUAUGUUAUAGUUAUAUUCUUGCAUUUUUUCCUCCUGUGACUGAUUUCUAUGAUCAGAACAAUAGUUAAUAAGAACUGUUAAUGUAAUUCAAAUAUGUCAUACCUUGCUGUUUCCAAUCUGGUUAUAUGUAAUCAUUAUAUCCUAAAUACUUAGGCAAAUAAGUAUUUAGCCUGGUCAUCUGUCUGUUACUGGAUAUUUGUGUUUUAUUUUAAAAAAAAUUUUUUUUAAUGAUAAGAGGACAAUUUACAAUGGUCUGUGAAACCUAACUGCUACUUAUUGGAACUAUAGCUGUCUGCCUGUCCUGUGAAGCAAGCUUAUUCCUUCACACAGGAAAUGCUGGCCAAUCUAUACUAGCCUCCCCACAUGUUGUUGCAGGUCCAGACUGUUCUAACUUUGUUAGAUUUAGUUUUUUGUUGUUCUAAAUUUUGGUCAAAUUACAGAUUAUUGAAUCUCUUCUGAGACAUGGAUCGGCCCAUCUGAAGCUUAGAUUGACACCACACCCACACCCCUGCAUGGAUUGAGCACCUUCGCCCAUUUCUCAGCCUGAAGCAGCUAAGAUCCAGACCAUCACCAGUGCUCCUGAUGUAAUUUGGACUGAUAUGGGGGAAGUGGGAAAGUGGUUGAUGAAUUAUUGUUAAAAUUACAAUUCUAUUACUAGAGUUAGAAAAAAAAAUGCAAACAUUACUGUGUGUUUAAAAUUUGGGAUGGAAAUUAUUAAAAAUGGUAACUAUUGCUGUAAAGGAAGUUAUAAUAUGUUUAUAAUAUCUAUGUUCACUUCAGAAUAUGUAAUUGUUUAAGGUAUUUGAUUUGAUUUGAUUUGAUUGAUUUUAGGAAACUCCUCCUGUACUAGACUGUUAUGUAUGUAGGAACUUUAAUUCACUCUUGGGAUUUAUAUGUGGAUGGUAAUUUGACUAUUUAUUAUUAUUAUUUUUUUUUUGGAUGAUUCCUUUCCAUGAGGAAAAAAAAGGAGAGGAAGAGAUAGGGAACUAGGGAAACUGGUGGAUUUUUCUCAAAAUACCUAAAAGAGUGGGAACCCUUAGUUUUCUUUCACUUUUGCCUUAUGUACUUCUGCCCCACCCCCUAUACCAGCAGUUCAGAUUGAAUUGGAAGUCCUUAAACAAUCCUUUUUGUUUUUACUAUGUUUUAGCUUUGAAACCCCUUAUUCUGUGGAAUUGCCCUGGCAGACUCAGUUUUGGGAACUAUUCUGUUUUAAAGAAAUCUCUAAGAUAAAGACAUUUGUCUUGGGACUGGCAAUCACCAGCCCUGUAACCCCAGUUUCUUAACUAGUACCUCAGCAUUUUUAAUAACAUUGCCCUUUUGAGAUCAAGCCUCUAAAGUUUGGGGUUUGCCUGCCUUCAUGUUCUAACUGCAUGCUCUGAUAGCUCUGCUCAGAAAUCUGUAUUCUAGUAGCAGCCCUGUCUGUCCCCUUGGGUGGGGACAGGUGGAGCUACUCUAAGCCUCACCCUUCUCCCCUAGAGUGGGUUACCCCUCUGAAUGGGCAGCAUGACUGUCUCGAGCCCUGCUACUUCCUUUAUAAGCAGAAGCUGAGUUAAGUGCACAAAUGACUGCAGACCACCUAACACAGUGAACUGUCCAUCUCAAACUGGAUUCUCUGGCUGAGAUGAGGGCUUUUGUACUGCUGAUAACUCUGGGGUUGUCAGGAAGAGACUUGUCCUUGCCAUAAGUCCUUGCAUUUUCUAGUUUCAUUUUGACUUAUUUGCCUCACAUUGGAUUGGUCAAAAUUAUGGUGCUGAGACCUCCCAGGUAUCUUGGGGAGGUAAUUCAAUAAUUCAAAUAUUCAGAAGAAGAGUGUGUAAUGUUGUGCCUCAGUUUCCCUAGAUUGUCAUCUUUAUUUAUCUUUGUAUUUUUAUGUUUGCCAAAUGCCAAUCUGUUCUGUGAUAACUGUUUCUAAGAUAGUUGGUGGAAGCAAUUUUUAUGGUAUGAACUUAUUGCAGUCAAUGGUAUUAUCCUGUUGCUGCUAUGUCCUGUAUAAUUACAUUAGUAACCAGAAUAGUUCAGUGGUCCCUAUCAAAAUAUUGCAUACAGAAAAUGCUAUUAAAAUGAUGAUUCUUCAGAGAAAAGACUGGAAUGUAUUAAAGAGGGAUGAUCUUGAUUGUGAACUUGAUAAACAAUGUAUAUAUAGAUAUACUAACUGAUUUUGAACAGUGUGUAUGUUCUUCAUAGAAAUAUGAUAAAAAUCAUUUACAUGUUAGAAGGGGGGAGCUGUGGGGAAUAGAAAAGGUGAAGAACUUACAGGAAUGUAUGAAUUCUUUUUCUGUAUUUUAUUAUUUCUGUGUUUCCCCUAUGACCUGUAUAUGUGCAGGCUCAUAUCUACUUGAGCCUUGGCCAGCUAGAAACAUAUUUACUUAACCUGAACUGAUGACAUUUAUUGGUAUUUGACAUUUAUCAAUAUUUAGUCUAUUAGCUGGACCACUGUCUGCUUGAUUAAGCCUGAAGGCCUGACUUUGUUUCCCAGAAAUCAGGAGAUUUCAGGGAAACAGAAACCUUCCAUUCCAAUCUCCCCAACUAGCAACAACCAAUGAGAUGCCUCCCCCUCCCCUUCUCAAUGCUCUCUUACUUGUGAUGUAAUUUCUUGUAUAAAAGCUAUGUAUCUUUACUACUUCUUUAGCCCUCCUACCGCGAGCUUAUCUUGCGAUGGGACGGCUCAUCCUCCGGAGGUUUUUCAAUAAACAACUUUUCUGCCUUCUA